rnacentral:rRNA from 1 species
CAGUCGAACGAGAGAUGAGGAGCUUGCUUCCUCAAUCGAGUGGCGAACGGGUGAGCAAUGCGUGAGGAACCUGCCUCAAAGAGGGGGACAACAGUUGGAAACGACUGCUAAUACCGCAUAAGCCCACAGCUCGGCAUCGAGCAGAGGGAAAAGGAGCAAUCCGCUUUGAGAUGGCCUCGCGUCCGAUUAGCUAGUUGGUGAGGUAACGGCCCACCAAGGCGACGAUCGGUAGCCGGACUGAGAGGUUGAACGGCCACAUUGGGACUGAGACACGGCCCAGACUCCUACGGGAGGCAGCAGUGGGGAAUAUUGCACAAUGGGGGAAACCCUGAUGCAGCGACGCCGCGUGGAGGAAGAAGGUCUUCGGAUUGUAAACUCCUGUUGUUGAGGAAGAUAAUGACGGUACUCAACAAGGAAGUGACGGCUAACUACGUGCCAGCAGCCGCGGUAAAACGUAGGUCACAAGCGUUGUCCGGAAUUACUGGGUGUAAAGGGAGCGCAGGCGGGAGAACAAGUUGGAAGUGAAAUCCAUGGGCUCAACCCAUGAACUGCUUUCAAAACUGUUUUUCUUGAGUAGUGCAGAGGUAGGCGGAAUUCCCGGUGUUGUGUUGUAUUGCGUAGAUA